GUUCUUCAGUAGCUCAUAUACUAAAAUUGGAACGACGCAGAAAAGAUUAGCAUGUCCCCUGCACACAGAUGACACACAGAUUCAUAAAUUGUUCCAUAUUCUU